CCCUUGUUAGAGUCAGUCUCCUCCCGGCUCUCCACUGCCACUGUCUCUGGCUGCCACCUUGGUCCUAAAGCAGCCUGGCCCUACUGGCUCGCUGCUCUCAUUCUCUGGAGCCAGACUUCUGAUUCCCAUGCAUUUGACCUCUGGCCUCCUCAGCCCACACCACCUCAACUCUUGAGCAUGGAGCCCAGGAGGAGGUCCCUCCGGGGACAAGGUCACCACCCCUCUGCGCCUCCCUCUAAGCCCAGUUAAGUUCUCGGGACAGAAUGAGGUCCAACGUGGUCAACAAACAUGACAUCAUGCCACCCACGAGCUGGACACGCGACACCUGGGGCUCCAGCUGGCCAUGCAAAAGGGUGAGGUCUCCAUCCCUCCUUCCGUGACAAAAGUAAGCUCUCCUUUCUGAAGAGCCCUCAAGCCAGAGACUGAACCCCCAAAUAAAAAUACAACAGAGGUCAGCUCUGAGAAACCAAAAUGACUCAUCACCUCACCUCCUGUCCUAAGUCCCUGGCUUCUCACACUCUCCCCUCUUGACUGUGUUUCGAGGCAAGGAAAAUACCUAUCAUUGCCAAUUAUGGAACCUGUUACCAAUGAAGGCCACCUUGGCUGCAAACUUAUCUUUGAUAUGGGACAUUCUCCAUUGCUUGUGGUGGAGAGAACAGACCCUUUUCCCUUCUAUGGUAAUAUGCCCCAAUGGAGGUUUUCCACCACGUGAAUAAUCUAGACGACAGGUUUUCUGUGUAGCAUCUUAUGCCAAUCUACGUCCCUCGUGCACAGCUUUGGAGAAGGGUCCAUAGCUCUGUCUAGAGGCCCGUCCACCCUGAGCCCAGAACAUCUCCAUCCCUCAGGCGGCCGCCUGCAGCAGUGCAGCUGGAGGAACCUGCCGUGUUUCUGAAGCUGCUCCUGCCACAGCAGAAUGCCUCUAAUGGAUGACCCCCCACUUAGGACAGCACUGACUCACCCACGCAAAUCCAAAGUGUGGUGCAUGCAAAUUUUAGCCUCGAGUUCUAGUCUCAGAGCACAAAAUAGUAACAACUACAACAAAAAUAACAGCACCACGCACUGAGUCUACUGUGCUUCAUGUACUACAUGAAAGAGGAACCGCAACACCAAUAUUCCAGUCAACGGAAACGGGGCUCAAAGGGACUAAAGAGUGGACUGACCAAGGUGACACGUGCAAGUCAGUGGUGGAGCUAAGAUCAAAGCUCUUCGCUUAAUCACUACAGAUAUAUUAAAUAUUAAACAUUUACAGUC
rnacentral:lncRNA from 1 species